rnacentral:rRNA from 1 species
AGCGAACGCUGGCGGCAGGCCUAACACAUGCAAGUCGAACGGACCCUUCGGGGUUAGUGGCGGACGGGUGAGUAGCACGUGGGAACGUGCCUUUAGGUUCGGAAUAGCUCCUGGAAACGGGUGGUAAUGCCGAAUGUGCCCUUCGGGGGAAAGAUUUAUCGCCUUUAGAGCGGCCCGCGUCUGAUUAGCUAGUUGGUGAGGUAAAGGCUCACCAAGGCGACGAUCAGUAGCUGGUCUGAGAGGAUGACCAGCCACAUUGGGACUGAGACACGGCCCAAACUCCUACGGGAGGCAGCAGUGGGGAAUCUUGCGCAAUGGGCGAAAGCUUGACGCAGCCAUGCCGCGUGAAUGAUGAAGGUCUUAGGAUUGUAAAAUUCUUUCACCGGGGACGAUAAUGACGGUACCCGGAGAAGAAGCCCCGGCUAACUUCGUGCCAGCAGCCGCCGUAAGAC